rnacentral:rRNA from 1 species
UACGAAGGGGGCUAGCGUUGCUCGGAAUCACUGGGCGUAAAGGGUGCGUAGGCGGGUCUUUAAGUCAGGGGUGAAAUCCUGGAGCUCAACUCCAGAACUGCCUUUGAUACUGAGGAUCUUGAGUUCGGGAGAGGUGAGUGGGAACUGCGAGUGUAGAGGGUGAAAUUCGUAGAUAUUCGCAAGAACACCAGUGGCGAAGGCGGCUCACUGGCCCCGAUACUGACGCUGAGGCACGAAAGCGUGGGGAGCAAACAGGG